AUGGACAAUCAUGGUCAAUGAGACAAGGGUCUCACAAAUAAGGAAGUAGCAUUGACAAUGGGCAGCUCUACAAACCAUUAGGAAGGUAGAGCAACCCGCUGGGGUGGAAUUGUCACAAUCUGUUAGUCUGUAUGGAAAAGAAAGUGUGGUCAAAUCCACAAGUAAACACAGCUUGCAUGAUGUCAUAUGUGCCAUGACAGCAAGGCCAGUUUAAGAACUCAUUGGGCCUGGUGCUGUCAAUUAUGAUGGGUCUAAUUACAAAAUUAUAUCGACAAAAGCUACUUAAAGUCAUACCUCCCAAGCAUCAUGUAUGUGGUGGAGAUGGUGCUGGAGGGAAACCUAUAUCCUCAAAUUAGAAAACACAUACCCUAUACUAAUCUCCAGCUUUCAUCUUUCAAGUAAAUCCAUCUCCCCUAACCGCAGGUUUGGUGAAGCAGAAUGUCGGUGGGAAGGGUAAAAGGGUGGGCAACUGACUGGGCGGUUCUGGUUCACAUAACCAGAACUGCCCAAAGGGACAAACAUGCCCAAAAAGGAUGUGGGGCGGGCGGUAGGGAGCAGGGCACUCCAGGAUUCUACAGUGCCAGGAAAACAAGCACCUCUAAAGCGGCACUGUCAUGCCGAACUUACCUCUCUUUAAUCGAUUCCUCUUCUCCCUCUUUCAGGAUCUGUCCAUUUCUUCCUGUCCGCUCUAGUUUUCUUUAAAACAUAAGACAAAGUAAGAGACUACUUUGUCUUAUGGAGGUUUCCUACGCCUGACCAGCGGAGGAGCAAAGUGUGCUUUAUUUCCUGUUGUCAGAGCAAUUUUCCCACAAUUCUUACCUUUGAUCCGUGAUCUUGCGAUGCUUCCUGUCAGUAUUCCCAAACGUCCUGUCACUUAGACAGGACGCGGUGAUACUACCGAAUUUUGGUAGUAGAGAACAGUUUCUCCAGUUGUGUUAGGACGCAAUUGAGGACUUUGUUCGGAUCAGAAUUUCAUUCAUAUGAAUGAAACUCCGAUCCUAUUCGUGCGGCGGCCGCAUCUUGUACUUAGUAGAUAACUCCCUAAUUCCCACGGUAUCAGGGAGCUAUCUACCAAAAGAUUGAAAGACCUAAAUUGGUCUUUCAGCCGAAUUUACUAAUGCUAAGUAAAGAUUACUUAGUGUAACGGCUACCCAGCUGGAAAGGGGUAUCUGCCGUUAGAGACGUCCUUUUUCUAGGCAAGCUGCUGUGAAGUAAUGGAGAUCUUAUUCCCAUCCACGAUAUCCAAGUGUAUAAUCCGGCAUUGCUGUAAAAUGAGGCAGAGUAACGGUACCAUAAAUCCCCUCCAAGAACGAGACGAGGCUACGUUUUGAAGGGUCAAGUAGAACUGAUGUUUAUUGACAGGGAUCUCCUUUUAUGCAAUGGUGCCCUCUGAAAGGCUACACCUACAUAGUUCUACAUAAAACCCCCACGUCUUCUCCCCUCAUAAACAUAUUGAAGUUUUGACCGACCGCACAGGUUUUCUAGCCGAAAAGAGUUCCAUAAGUUUUGGCCUUGUGGUCAGUCUCUGUUCGUGCAUUAAAACCCCACGAACCCCUUGCCAUCCACAGUCAUCCUGGUGUUCGCUGAAAUCCCUAUGUGAGUUUAAGCAAAACUACCGAACGGCCGGUUGUUCGGUAGUUCCAGCACGAACUUACGAGCUCCUGGAGGUCUCAGCGGUGUUCGCCUGUUUGCGUAUCUGAUUUUAGUUCCAUGCGUUCACGGUCAAACACCGCUGUUCGUGCGUAAGAUGGCCGCGAACAUGUGUAAAGUUCCCGAAAUGGCGGCCAUCUAACCUGAGCACAAAGGGAUUCGUGUGAAACCAUGCGAACGGCUCCAAAAGCGCUGGGAGGUAAAAUACCAUUUAACUGUUCCCUUGGGUGGUCCGAUGUUCGGUAUUUUGAGCUGUAUUCUCCGGUAAGGAUAUUUCCACGAACUAGUCAUUCGGUUUUUGUAAUAAAUCCAGCGGCAUUGAUAUAUAAGUCCAGGCAAAAAGCAUAGGCAAAAGCAUAGUUCUGUUACACUUAGUAUUAGUAAAUUCUGCUCUACUCGCUAGGCUGCGAGUAGGGGCAUGUCUAGUAAACAGUGAGCAGCCUGUGGAGUAGAGGGGUUUCGCAGACCAAUCAGAAGAAAGGGCACAAAGCCCGAUUGCACCAAUCCGCUGAAAGGUGCGAAACCAAUUUGUGCCAAUCAGCUCACGGGGCCGAGAGGGGCUUCGUGCACCAGAGCGCCCCAUCUGGUUGAGGUCUGUGGUUUUCACACCAUUCUAACGGAACGUUCUAAAUGGAGUAUUGGGGUGGUCCAGCACACAGGGCUUCGUGCGCCAGAGCGCCCCCAUGUGGUUCAAAGGUACUUUGCAGGAUUUAAGGUCAAAAUUUAUAGAAAGGGAGAUUACCAAGGAAACACACAUUCCAGGAGGGCACAUCCACACAUAAGAAAAGGGCAAUUCACAGUUAAGCAGGGGUCCUGCCACAGUCCCAAUGCCCCUAGUCCCCCACCCACACAAAAAAAAAUGAAUAAACCCCAACCUACCCCCCUCAACCUAAAAAUAGUGAGCAGGGAACAAUAAAACGAAAUCCCUGUAAAUAAAAAAAUAUUUACCAUUUGAUGUUUUCUUUUUUC